GCCCUUGUAGUUAAAUGGAUAUAACUGCGGACUUCUAAGCCGUUAUUGUAGGUUCGAUUCCUACCGAGGGCACAA
rnacentral:tRNA from 2 species